UACAGAGGGUGCGAGCGUUAAUCGGAAUUACUGGGCGUAAAGCGCGCGUAGGCGGCUUUGCAAGUCGGGUGUGAAAUCCCCAGGCUUAACCUGGGAACUGCAUUCGAGACUGCAUUGCUAGAGUAUGGGAGAGGGAAGUGGAAUUUCCGGUGUAGCGGUGAAAUGCGUAGAUAUCGGGAGGAAUACCAGUGGCGAAGGCGGCAUCCUGGCCAUGUCCUGACGCUCAGGGGCGAAAGCGUGGGGAGCAGACCGG
rnacentral:rRNA from 1 species